rnacentral:rRNA from 1 species
AUUCUGGCUCAGGAUGAACGCUGGCGGCGUGCUUAAUACAUGCAAGUCGAACGAAGCACCUGCGACGGAUCCCUUCGGGGGUGAAGAUGCUUGUGACUGAGUGGCGGACGGGUGAGUAACGCGUGGGUAACCUGCCUUAUGCAGGGGGACAACAGUUAGAAAUGACUGCUAAUACCGCAUAAGCGCACGAGACCGCAUGGUCAAGUGUGAAAAGAUUUAUCGGCAUAAGAUGGACCCGCGUCUGAUUAGGUAGUUGGUGAGGUAACGGCCCACCAAGCCGACGAUCAGUAGCCGACUUGAGAGAGUGAUCGGCCACAUUGGGACUGAGACACGGCCCAGACUCCUACGGGAGGCAGCAGUAGGGAAUAUUGCACAAUGGGGGAAACCCUGAUGCAGCGACGCCGCGUGAGUGAUUGAAGUAUUUCGGUACGUAAAGCUCUAUCAGCAGGAAGAUAAUGACGGUACCUGACUAAGAAGCCCCGGCUAACUACGUGCCAGCCGCGGC